GCUUUAGCUUCCAACAAAAACAGUCAGAGAUGUUGAGUAUGUAACAGAGGUGGGUGGGCUCUACACAAUCCUCCUUUUUAAGAUUUGGUUUAAAUUAAGUUUCAGCAUUAAAGAGCAUACCAGGAUGUGUGUGCCGGGGAGAGGACAGCAAGACUCCUUCCAUACAGGGGAAAUGUUUCAGACCCCCACAGGGUUUGCCGGCAUUGCUAUACUGUCAAAUCCUUUCUAAUGUAGAGAAGGCUUAUGUUAGGCAUGCGUGGAAGCCUACACACGUCCCACAGACCCCAUGCCGGGCUUGAGCUUCUUCUUCUUUCAUAUGGCUUGGGUACUGCAGGUCAUCGUGCAGCAGGAUCCUCGUGUCUGCAUUGACAUGGUCAAGAAAGCGAGUUGUCUGAGCAGCCCUUCUAAUCUGCGGAGGCUGGAUGUGAGAAAGGCCCAUCAUGGGGCUCCAGCCCACAGACCCUACGAACCGCAACAACUGGCUUGGGCAGCUAUCUGGAGGGCUUCACAGAAUCAACGCUGGAACAAAAUCAUAAAUUGCAUCUCUGAAAUUUGAAGGUGUUCAAAUUCCAAAUCAAAUUAUAACUACUCUGGAUAUUCUUGAUACAAGAUCAGUCAGACCCCAGUAAAGAGGCACUGUGGUCCCUCAACCUUUGUUCUUGAUACAUUACCAGUCCUCCACAUAUGCCCUGCAUUCAACAUGAAUUGUGCCUGUGUUUUGAACAGAGCGCAAACAAACAAAAAGGGAAGAUAGGAAUAUCCUGGAAUAUCCGUCUCAGUGAAAAGCAGUUUCUAAGGCCAUUGACCGUUUCAGUCCUGGUCAAUGCCAAUA